ACCAGUAAGCUGGAAAGAAAAAGGACAUUAAAGUCAAAGCUCCUGAAGUCGCAUAGAGAUCAAAAACGAGUUUUUCUUUCGAUUUUGCUCUCGCCGGCUUCUAUUUUGUUCAUCCAGGCUCAUUGGGUUUGUUUGUGGUCAUAGGAGCUCUAUCUUUUCUGUUCGUACUCGUCUCCAGUCGCUGCAUCUCGAAAGGAUGACGAACCAGAUCAAGGCCCCCAAGAUCUUAAUGAAGCAGCAACGAAUGAAGAUACAUAAACAGUAUUAUAUCAUGUAAAAUGUAUCUUUUGAUAAAGUAAAGUAUUACUCAAACAAAUUAAGAAACAUAAAAAGUAAUAUAUCACGCACUAAUUUAUUAGGCAUGAUACAAAAAUCAAUUUUUUACUA